AAAAUGUCAAAUUUGGCUGCAAGAAGCCACAUCCUGCUUGGACACCUCAUGCUUGAAUCCACUUGUCCUUUAAUCACAUUUUCUUAAUCCUUAAGCAAGACCCACGACCUCAAUCUCUUAAAGACAUCUUAUUCACUUCCUAAAUAAUAUAGGAACUCCUCUAACUCAUCCCCAGUCGAUUCCAAGUGAAAAAGAGAGCAAAAGAGCCAAGGGAAAUAGAAGCAGGAAGCUGAAAUUGAAAGUGUUGGGGCAGCUAUGUUAGUUCACUGCUUUAAGGUCUGUAUUCAUUAUUUUAAAGGUUUUAUGACCUCUUGAACACCCUGAUCUUGCUGGAAACCAUUUUAUAUGUUGUUAAUGAUUUUAUGAUGGCAAAGUAAGGGUAAUUAAUUACAAGAACUUGGGAGAAAACAACCAGGACAGAGAUGUAGGUUGCUAGAGUUGAAUGAUUUAGACCUUGAUUUUGGAUGAUUCUUAGAGUAUAACUUAUAUCUAUCAAUAUGAAUGUUUUUAUAUGCAAGCAUGAAGUAUAGAAGUAAUUUUUAAUGGCCUAGAAUUCUGUUGAUGGCAUACUAAUACAAUGGAAAAUCGAAAACUGUCACAAGGAAAACAAAACUGCCUGAUUUGUUGUGGCAAAAAAGGGAUGGUUUUUGAGGUUGAAAACACCUUAAUUGUCAAAACUUUAGAGCAUGAUUACCUUCAUAUACAUGUUAUAGAAGUGUGGUAAAACUUUGGGAGUCAUUGAUUAUAGAUAAGGGGGUGAGAAAUAAUUGGAAAAAUAAUUGGAUGGGAAGGGAAAUUUGAAAACAGGUUCUGUCCAUUUGUGUUUAAUGUGAUUUCAACCUUUACAUGUCAAUUAAUUAUCUCUUGGGCCUAGAAAAUAGAUUCUAAGGAGUGUUAGGUUGUUGACUACAAUUGGAUGAUGUUAGUGUUCAUAAAUGGACUCGAGAAAUAGUGAGAUUUAUGGAACGAGAUUGUAAUGCUGUUAGUAACUUGAAAUGAUGAAUUCUUUUAAAUUGUUUAGAUGUGAAUUGACGUAUUUUGGAAUUGUGUGUGUUAAACUAUUAAAUUGAGGAUUGCCUUUAAUAUUAGAUGGUAAUAAAGGUGAUUUUCCAACGUUGAGUGAAAAAGAAAAGUAAUCUAAUCUCCAUAGGAGCUUGCACACGCAAGGGCAAAAACAUAAGUAAAAAUUCAUUUCCAACUACGAUGCAAGAACCUAGUAUUGGUGAUGUGGUAAUGUUGGAAUAUGUACAUAACUUUGAUAAGAGGCUUAUUAUACAUCAUAUAAUGGUUAUGAUCUUGAGUAUGAGGUUGCGGAACAUAUUGACAUUUAUUUUCAUUAAAUAUGUCAUUCGUAAGAUUUUCAUCUGCAUGCAGACAUGUGAUCGUGGUUGAAAAAUCUUGCAUGUGAAACAUGAUUUCAAACUGAGAUUUCUUUAUAAAUGUUUUAUUGACCACUACUAGGGCACCGAGACAUGUGAGGCAUGCUUAUGUGAUAUGUUUUUGCAUCGCGAGUGAUGCUUCCUGGGUGAUUGUAAAGGUAGACAGGGAAUGGGCCUUGGUGAUCACAGGAGAGUGGACCACUCGACUAUGCCCUUGCAAUAUUAUGAUUAUUGGCACUGUCAGGUGGGAUACUUCUUGGGGGAUCAUAGAGAUAGUUAGAGGAUAUGCAUCUAAUGGUCGCGAGAAGAUGGUCCACUUGUUAGUGUUGAUUUCAUAUUAGUCAUUUGAUUUUUGAUUUUUGAUUGUUGAUAUUGAUAUUAUGCAGAGCUCUAUCAGGUUUGUAGCAGGUGGGUCAAGGGCCCAAUGAAAUGAAAACUUUCAAAUGAAAUGAUUUCGAGUUGACUUUGAUGAAUAUUAGAAUAUAAUGCAUCUUUAGCAAAAUGUCUAAAAUGAAUGACAUUGUGUCAUAUAUCAUUGUUACUCAUAUUCAUGACAUGCAUGAUUUUUGCUUACUAAGUAUUAACUUAUGUAGUUCUUGCAUUAUAGGUGAGCAUAGAACUAUGUAGAGAUCAUGGCUAGCUGUGGAGCUUUACGGGAUUCCAGAGUUUGAUGUACAUGGAUGACGACUUGUAAGGUUAUUUUGUGGGCUUUUUUUGAGCUUACAGUCUAUUAUAUUAUAUUUUAGGGAUCAUGUAUUUUAUAACUUUUAAAAUGGCCUGUAGAUAUGUUUAUAACCUUAGAACAUAUGUGUUGGAUUAUGGUUAUAUGAUCUUUGGUUUCGAUAUACUAUAUGAUUGUCACAGGUGAUUAGGAGUUAACAAACAGGAACA
rnacentral:lncRNA from 1 species